GGGGAAUUAGCUCAAAAGGUAGAGCGCUCGCUUAGCAUGCGAGAGGUAGCGGGGUCAAUGCCUGCAUUCUUCA
rnacentral:tRNA from 1 species